rnacentral:rRNA from 1 species
GAUGAACGCUGACAGCAUGCUUAACACAUGCAAGUCAACUGUGGCGGACGGGUGAGUAACGCGUAAAGAACUUGCCUCCCAGUUAGGGACAACCUUUGGAAACGAAUGCUAAUACCUGAUACUGUGAGAGAGCUUUGCGUGCCAUUGGCUAGUUGGAGAGGUAACGGCUCACGAAGGCGAGGAUGGGUAGCCGGCCUGAGAGGGUGAUCGGCCACAAGGGGACUGAGACACAGCCCUUACUGCUGCGGGAGGCAGGAGUGGGGAGUAGUGGACAAUGGACCGAAGUCUGAUCCAGCAAUUCUGUGUGCACGAUGAAGUUUUCGGAAUGUAAAGUGCUUUCAGUUGGGAAGCGGUACCAACAGAAGAAGUGACGGCUAAAUACGUGCCAGCAGCCGCGGUAAUAC